UGGGAAUGGAAAAAUACGAUC
ensembl:piRNA 21ur-52 ncRNA